rnacentral:rRNA from 1 species
CCUGAUCCAGCAACGCGCGUGAGGGAUGACGGCCUUCGGGUUGUAAACCUCUUUCAGCAGGGACGAAGCGCAAGUGACGGUACCUGCAGAAGAAGCACCGGCCAACUACGUGCCAGCAGCCGCGGUAAUACGUAGGGUGCGAGCGUUGUCCGGAAUUAUUGGGCGUAAAGGGCUCGUAGGCGGUUUGUCGCGUCGGGAGUGAAAACUCAGGGCUUAACCCUGAGCCUGCUUCCGAUACGGGCAGACUAGAGGUAUGCAGGGGAGAACGGAAUUCCUGGUGUAGCGGUGAAAUGCGCAGAUAUCAGGAGGAACACCGGUGGCGAAGGCGCUCAUCUGGCCCAAUACUGACGCUGAGGCGCGAAAGCUAGGGGAGCAAACGGGAUUAGAUACCCCGGUAGUCCUAGCCGUAAACGGUGAUCACUAGGUGUUGGAGGCAUCGACCCCUCCAGUGCCGCAGCUAACGCAUUAAGUGAUCCGCCUGGGGAGUGCGGCCGCAAGGUUG